UAAUACCAGCUCUCCGAGUGGUGGGGAUGCUUAUUGGGCCUAAAGCAUCCGUAGCCUGCUGGACAAGUCCCCCGUUAAAUCCAACGAUUCAAUCGUUGGACUGCAGGGGAUACUGUUCGGCUAGGGGACGGGAGAGGCCGACGGUAUUCUUGGGGUAGGGGUGAAAUCCUAUAAUCCCGGGAAGACCACCAGUGGCGAAGGCUGUCGGCUAGAACGCGCCCGACGGUGAGGGAUGAAAGCUGGGGGAGCGAACCGGAUUAGAUACCCGGGUAGUCCCAGCUGUAAACGAUGCAGGCUAGGUGUGUGGGUGCCCUAGAGGUACCCAUGUGCCGAAGGGAAACCGUUAAGCCUGCCGCCUGGGGAGUACGGCCGCAAGGCUGAAACUUAAAGGAAUUGGCGGGGGAGCACCACAAGGGGUGGAGCCUGCGGUUC
rnacentral:rRNA from 1 species